CGACCUGAGCUCAGGCAAGGUUACCCGCUGAACUUAAGCAUAUCAUUAAGCGGUGGAAAAGAAACUAACCAGGAUUCCCCUAGUAACGGCGAGCGAACCGGGAAUAGCCCAACUUGAAAAUCUCCCCUUGGAGAAUUGUAGUCUACAGAAGCGCCCUCAUGGGCUGGCGGAACUCAAGUCGGAUCGAAUGCCGCGUCAGAGAGGGUGAUAACCCCGUCGGUUCCUGCCUAGUCCUCUCACGAGGUGCUUUCCACGAGUCGGGUUGUUUGGGAAUGCAGCCCUAAUUUGGAGGUAAUCCCUUCUAAGGCUA
rnacentral:ncRNA from 1 species